rnacentral:lncRNA from 1 species
CGUUGCAGGCAAGUCCAAGAAGAGAUGAAGCAUCAGCCCAAACAGUGCCUUCGCCCGAAGGAAUCGAAGGACUAAUUGGUACUUCAAUAGCUCUCCUUCUCUCAGCUUCAAUUUUCUCUGCCAUCGAUAACUUCACCUCUCCUCUCCUAUCCUCUCUUCCCUCUCUCUUAGCUGUGUACGCAAGAGUGCGAAUUAGAAACUUCGCAUUUGACGAGAAACCGUAUUUCGCUGAUUUCAAGAACGAAUUUGGUAGGUAUGAACAAUUUGUGAAGAACGUUCAAAGUCUUGCUUCAGUCUGCCGCAACGCGAAAAGUGUCGUCUCUUGUUGGUUCGGACUUUGAUAGGGCAACGCUGUUUUUUCAGCCUUUUUCCUAGUGAAUACUGAAUAUUAUGAAUUCAGUCCGCAAC